rnacentral:rRNA from 1 species
CCUACGGGCGGCAGCAGUGAGGAAUAUUGGUCAAUGGACGAGAGUCUGAACCAGCCAAGUAGCGUGAAGGAUGACUGCCCUAUGGGUUGUAAACUUCUUUUAUAUGGGAAUAAAAUGUUCCACGUGUGGGAUUUUGUAUGUACCAUAUGAAUAAGGAUCGGCUAACUCCGUGCCAGCAGCCGCGGUAAUACGGAGGAUCCGAGCGUUAUCCGGAUUUAUUGGGUUUAAAGGGAGCGUAGGUGGAUUGUUAAGUCAGUUGUGAAAGUUUGCGGCUCAACCGUAAAAUUGCAGUUGUAACUGGCAGUCUUGAGGACAGUAGAGGUGGGCGGAAUUCGUGGUGUAGCGGUGAAAUGCUUAGAUAUCACGAAGAACUCCGAUUGCGAAGGCAGUUCACUGGACUGCAACUGACACUGAGGCUCGAAAGUGUGGGUAUCAAACAGGAUUAGAUACCCUAGUAGUC